rnacentral:rRNA from 1 species
GACGAACGCUGGCGGCGUGCUUAACACAUGCAAGUCGAACGGAAAGGCCCUGCUUUUGUGGGGUGCUCGAGUGGCGAACGGGUGAGUAACACGUGAGUAACCUGCCCUUGACUUUGGGAUAACUUCAGGAAACUGGGGCUAAUACCGGAUAGGAGCUCCUGCUGCAUGGUGGGGGUUGGAAAGUUUCGGCGGUUGGGGAUGGACUCGCGGCUUAUCAGCUUGUUGGUGGGGUAGUGGCUUACCAAGGCUUUGACGGGUAGCCGGCCUGAGAGGGUGACCGGCCACAUUGGGACUGAGAUACGGCCCAGACUCCUACGGGAGGCAGCAGUGGGGAAUAUUGCACAAUGGGCGGAAGCCUGAUGCAGCAACGCCGCGUGCGGGAUGACGGCCUUCGGGUUGUAAACCGCUUUCGCCUGUGACGAAGCGUGAGUGACGGUAAUGGGUAAAGAAGCACCGGCUAACUACGUGCCAGCAGCCGCGGUGAUACGUAGGGUGCGAGCGUUGUCCGGAUUUAUUGGGCGUAAAGGGCUCGUAGGUGGUUGAUCGCGUCGGAAGUGUAAUCUUGGGGCUUAACCCUGAGCGUGCUUUCGAUACGGGUUGACUUGAGGAAGGUAGGGGAGAAUGGAAUUCCUGGUGGAGCGGUGGAAUGCGCAGAUAUCAGGAGGAACACCAGUGGCGAAGGCGGUUCUCUGGGCCUUUCCUGACGCUGAGGAGCGAAAGCGUGGGGAGCGAACAGGCUUAGAUACCCUGGUAGUCCACGCUGUAAACGGUGGGUACUAGGUGUGGGGCCCAUUCCACGGGUUCCGUGCCGUAGCUAGCGCUUUAAGUACCCCGCCUGGGGAGUACGGCCGCAAGGCUAAAACUCAAAGGAAUUGACGGGGCCCCGCACAAGCGGCGGAGCAUGCGGAUUAAUUCGAUGCAACGCGUAGAACCUUACCUGGGUUUGACAUGGAUCGGGAGUGCUCAGAGAUGGGUGUGCCUCUUUUGGGGUCGGUUCACAGGUGGUGCAUGGCUGUCGUCAGCUCGUGUCGUGAGAUGUUGGGUUAAGUCCCGCAACGAGCGCAACCCUUGUUCACUGUUGCCAGCACGUUAUGGUGGGGACUCAGUGGAGACCGCCGGGGUCAACUCGGAGGAAGGUGGGGAUGACGUCAAGUCAUCAUGCCCCUUAUGUCCAGGGCUUCACGCAUGCUACAAUGGCUGGUACAGAGAGUGGCGAGCCUGUGAGGGUGAGCGAAUCUCGGAAAGCCGGUCUCAGUUCGGAUUGGGGUCUGCAACUCGACCUCAUGAAGUCGGAGUCGCUAGUAAUCGCAGAUCAGCAACGCUGCGGUGAAUACGUUCCCGGGGCU